GGGGGGCCCAGCUGGCUGUGGGGGGCGCGUGCGCUGCGCCCUCGUAUGAUCCGAAGCCCCGGCGGGCAAAUUACCCCGCGCCACCUCGCCGGCGGCGAUCGCCGGAGCCGGAGGAGGCGGGGGCCUGGAGGAUCUUACGCGGAUUGCAGUUCCACGGAUGGAGUUGCAAUUUACAGGUGCGAGGAGAUCAGAACAUACCAAGAUUGAACAACGGACACUCUGAAGUUGUUUCCGGGUGACAAGUCUGAAUCCCAGGACAAGCAGCACGUUCUUUUGUUUUUAUGGCGCUGAACAUUACUUGUCCUGUUAGUAAUAAUUUACUGGAUCACAGAAGCAAGUAGGGGUCCAUCGGCGUCCUUAUGCUUUAAUUCACAUGGGCAAGCUGUAGCUACGUUGAAUGCCCUUUUCUUCGGAUCAUGCACGGUGGUUGACCGUCUAUUUGGAUGACUCGUUUGUUUAUUUGUGACAUAGUACCUACAUUUUGAUCUAUUAUCAUGUUUAAAUAUUUCUUCCGACCAAUAACAAUUGUUGAACAAUAAGUUGCUGCUUAAUAAUUUUUUUAGCACCCAUGUUUCUACUA